GAACUUUGGACAAUGGGGGCAACCCUGAUCCAGCCAUCCCGCGUGUGCGAUGAAGGCCUUCGGGUUGUAAAGCACUUUUGGCAGGGAAGAAAAGGCUCUGGCUAAUACCUGGAGCUGCUGACGGUACCAGCAGAACACGCACCGGCUAACUACGUGCCCACAGCCGCGGUAAUACGUAGGGUGCAAGCGUUACGCGGAAUUACUGGGCGUAAAGCGUGCGCAGGCGGUUCGGCAAGAAGGAUGAGAAAUCCCAGGGCUUAACCUUGGAACUGCAUUCUUAACUGCCGGGCUAGAGUAUGUCAGAGGGGGGUAGAAUUCCGCGUGUAGCAGUGAAAUGCGUAGAGAUGCGGAGGAAUACCGAUGGCGAAGGCAGCCCCCUGGGAUAAUACUGACGCUCAUGCACGAAAGCGUGGGGAGCAAAC
rnacentral:rRNA from 1 species